rnacentral:rRNA from 1 species
AUGCCAGACUCCUACGGGAGGCAGCAGUGGUUCCUCUUCCGCAAUUUGCUCAAGCCUGCCGGCGCAACGCCGCUUGCUCGAAUGAAGGCCUUCGGGUUGUCCCGCUCUGUUGACCGGGCCGAAUAAGCCCUGCGAAUAGUUUUGUGUAUGACGGUACCUGUUUAGAAAGCUCCGGCUAACUACGUGCCAGCAGCCGCGGUCAUACGUAGGGAGCAAGCGUUGUCCGGAAUUACUGGGCGUAAAGGGCGCGUAGGUGGGUGCUGAAGUCAGGUGUGAAAACUCCGGGCUCAACCUGGAGACUGCGCUUGAAACUGGGUGUCUUGAGGGCAGGAGAGGAAAGUGGAAUUCCUAGUGUAGCGGUGAAAUGCGUAGAUAUUAGGAGGAACGCCAGUGGCGAAGGCGACUUUCUGGACGGUACCUGACGCUGAGGCUCGAAAGCGUGGGUAGCGAACGGGAUUAGAUACCCGAGUAG